GAUGAACGCUGGCGGCGUGCCUAAUACAUGCAAGUCGAGCGAACAGACGAGGAGCUUUCUCCUUUGACGUUAGCGGCUGACGGGUGAGUAACACGUGGAUAACCUACUUAUAAGACUGGGAUAACUUCGGGAAACCGGAGCUAAUACCGGAUAACAUGUUGAACCGCAUGGUUCAACAGUGAAAGACGGUCUUGCUGUCACUUAUAGAUGGAUCCGCGCCGCAUUAGCUAGUUGGUAAGGUAACGGCUUACCAAGGCAACGAUGCGUAGCCGACCUGAGAGGGUGAUCGGCCACACUGGAACUGAGACACGGUCCAGACUCCUACGGGAGGCAGCAGUAGGGAAUCUUCCGCAAUGGGCGAAAGCCUGACGGAGCAACGCCGCGUGAGUGAAGAAGGUCUUCGGAUCGUAAAACUCUGUUAUUAGGGAAGAACAAAUGUGUAAGUAACUAUGCACGUCUUGACGGUACCUAAUCAGAAAGCCACGGCUAACUACGUG
rnacentral:rRNA from 1 species